rnacentral:lncRNA from 1 species
CCGUGCAAUUUAAGGAUGAAAAUGGCCCUUCAAAUAGAUACUUGCGGUUCUACUAAAUAAACAAAAUAUACAAUUUUUUUUUAUUUUUUUCAUUUAAUUUAUUUAGUUACACUAAAGAAAAAUUGUGGAUACUCGUUUAGAGCACGUCACCAUCUUUAGUACUGCAAUUGUAUGCGUGCAUGCGUGUGCUUUUGACCAUGUUUUGCCCGGUGACACACAGGUGUGGCUGUGCGGGCGGGCGGCCUUCCAGCUCCACGGGAUCCAAGAAAAGAAUCAGGGCCUUAUUUAGGUCAUGUUCGCUUGUGUUUAUUUGUCGAAUCUGUUAAUUAUUCAGAAGUAUUUUUCUCUCACAAUAAAUUAAUAAAUUUUUAGCUAUAGCUUUUCAAACAAACGAACAGGCUCUAGUUUACUGGGUGAAAAAGUUUUUGGGUACUAUAGCACGUUCGUUUGCAUUUGAUAAUUAUUGUCCAACCAUGGACUAACUAGGUUCAAAAGAUUUAUCUCACAAAUUGUGCAAUUAGUUAUUUUUUAUCUAUAUUUAAUAUUCUAUGCAUGUGCCGCAAGAUUUGAUGUGAUGAGAAAUCUUGAAAAGUUUUUGG